rnacentral:lncRNA from 1 species
GGUUUUUUUGGAGCAUCUGUUCAAAUUCUCAACCAAGCAAGCAAAAAAUCUUAACAGAGAUGUGCAACAUCGAGUUUAUUACGAAGGUAGUUAAUAAGGUAUUUUCGUUUCUUGCGUUAGUUAAUAAACCAGAAGAUUCCCCAUAUAUAUACGAGAUAGCCGAGAUAAGCGGAGUUAGGCCGUACGUGUGGAAAAUUAGCUAGUGUAAGAUUUUGACAUUAAAAUCAUGCAUGAAAUUCCCCUUGCUCGUCCAUUUAUAUUGCUUUAACAUAGUUACGAACGCGACCUGUAUGGUGAUUAGUUAUACGAGUUAAGCAAAUCAGCCAUCGUAUGGCAAUACAAAUGUAGUACAUGACACUUACAUGACUAUAUCGUACGCAUGAAUAAAAAUCGUAUGGAUAAAUAUACAAAUGCGAAUUACUUAUCUCCGCUUAACUAAACUACUUAACUUAAGGAUAGGGGUGUAGUAAUUAUUUAAUGAACACACUCGCGGAGAAAUUCAGCCGCGGUGUUUUAUCUGCAUAAAACAAAACCCUCAUUUUCCCGUUACCUGCGAACGUCCCUUCAAAUAAAGUUGUUGCGACCGAUUUUUGAGAAAGUGCCUCAUGACGCAAAGAUCCGCCUCAUCGUUUGGCCCCGCGGGAGGCGCGACUGCUCGGUGGCUAGGGGUUGAAUCAAAAAUCGGUCGCAACAACUUUGUCGGGCUCCUCGUUAGCUGCCCGAGGAUGUAAAAAAAAGCUGUCGAAGGUUGCGACUCGCUCGAGAACUUUCUUCGGGGGCGCUCGGGUGCCACGAUUGGACAUCACACUCGAGGGACACGCCGACGCGUGGAUACCGUGUACGCCCCGAUUUAUAAUUAAAUACUAUUCAGGGGGUUUGCAUAUCCUCCUCAGACACUAGACAUGCCUAGUAAGCCGAGCCGCGAGCGCGCGCGUUCUGCGCGCGUGUCUCGACGGCAUGUGCAAACAACAACAAAAAGCCUCCGAGGAGGGCUCGGAGCAUUUCAGAGACGGAAACGCUGGUUUAAUAACUCAAGGAAUAUGUGCUGACACGUGCUGGGCGCUAGUCAGAUAAUUACGUCACCCCUGUCGUUAUAAUGUUAUUUGUGAUCAAAUCGUUAGGUAUAUAAAUUAGGAGCCUGCUAAGAAGUGUAAACCUUAACUCUAAUUAGAAGAGCCCCAGUCCCCACUUUUUUUUCGCGAGUGUUUUGACUAAAAAAUCAGUCGCACGGGGCAAACGGUAUGUCAAGGUAUUUGUCCAUACGGUUUGAGCUUGUAUGGGCUUUUUGUGCCGAUGGAGCAUCCGUACAAAUUCUCUACCAUGUGUAUAUAUGUGAACGAAGGUUCAAAUGUACGAACGCGUAAUGAAGGUAAUAAAAUAAAUAUAAAUAAGCGUGAUGUUAUUAAAAAGAGCAAUCUUGAAUCAGUUGAUAAAAAAAUGUACGAAGGUACAAAAUUUUUGGGCGAAAUUUUGUCUCUUAAUAUAUUACCUUCGUAAUACGAAGC